CCCAUGCUGGGAGCUCUACCAGGAAAAGGCUGCACCUUUUGUUUUUCCUCAGCACUGACUCUUAGAACCCAGGACAAUGCCCAGUGGAGUGUAGGCUCUCAAAUAUUUGUUGACUUAACUCUCCCUGCAAUAUGCCAGUGAAGAUAUAUAAGCAGAAAUGUACUGAAUGAGGCUUCCAAAUAAGUGUUGUACUGUGGAGAGGGAUGGAGACUGAAGAAUUGAGCAGGCCAGGAGGCAGGAGAGAUCAUCUGCAGGAAUCAGCAGUGACUGCUAUGGACCAUGCUCUGCGCCAAGGGCUGGAGAGAUGCUGACUCCCUAGACACACCAUCAGAUGACUCAAAGGAUGUCCACUGGGAGGAAAAGUUAAGCUUCGUUGGUUUGGAAAGGACUUUAAGGCUUAUGUUUUCCAACUAUGAUACAUUUCUAGCAAGCAAUAGACCAAUCAUUGAUGGAGAAUUUAUUGCUACCCUAUGCAUCCUCUACCAACUUAGCAGCUCUGACUGCUAAAGGUUCCUGCUUUUCUGUAGUUUCUACCCUUCGGUUCAAGUCCUCUGGAGUUCCACACAAUGGUUCUCACCACUCUUCUGAGUAGUGUCCUUCAUGCAUGGGAUAUGACAGAUGUGGACUCACUGCUAGGUAUGCCAGCACUCACAAAGUGAUUAUGGCCUCUCUCCGUUCCACAUGCAAACCAGGAUUAAGUCCUUGUUUCCUUAGCAAGGCCUAUAAGGCAUUUUGUCAUUUGACCCUUUGUUCUCUGCUUCAGCAAUAUGCCCUAAAACUGCAGAUAUACUUAACUAUCUGAACUUUAGCUUAUGCUCUGUGAUCCUUCUUUCUAGAAUAUUCUCUUUCCCACUCUCUUCCCCAGAUUUGCCUCCUCUGCGGAGCUUUUCAUGACCCAAAAAGACUGGAUAAUGCUUUCUCACACCUGCUUACAUUGCAUCUUGAGUGUUUCCUUGGUUAUAACACUCAUUUGUAACUAAACGUUUAUUUCUCUCUCUCUUCAGCAGGACCAUGGGAUCCUAGUGGCCAGGGAUGAUAUUUCGUUCUCUUAGCCCCAAAGCCUAACAUUUGAUUUAAACAUAUAGUGAGUGCUUAGUGAAAUGAAUGAAUGAAUGAAUGACCUUCCUGUGUCUUGUCCAAGCCCAUUCACCAACCCCUCAACUUACAUUCUCUCUUCAUCAUGGCAGUGGGAAAGAGGGAGUUGAGAAGGAAGAUGGAUAGGAUGAGGGAGUGACUGACAGGGAAGGGUAACCAGCGAAGAGAUAAGCAUAUCAGAAUCAAAAACUUCAUUUUAUAGAUGAGGAGACUGAGACAAAAAUACAUAACGUACCUAAGUCACACAGUGGAGCCUGAAGUCCUGUUUCCUGGCCUCUGGCCCUGUGCCUUUUUUCCAUCUCGUGAAUAUUGCAGCAAGUACUUUUUGAACACACAGGCAAAAACAACUGGCUCAGAUAGCCUC